UGAUCCUUGGGCUGUGAUAUGUACGUGGUUUGAAUCCGCAGAAUUCAAGGUGAUCAUUUAAUUUUGUUCUUAGAGAUUGAUUGCCUACUUAUGUUUGAGAGAUGAAGGAGUGUCACACAUAAGGUCAGGCACGUGGACACACACACACCCACACACAUACUGAACACAGAUUUACUUAACGUGGUCUACUGCCAACUUUUGAAUGACUUGGACAGUCUAUUGCUUGUUUGAAUGACAGAAAUUAAGCGAAAAGAAUUCUGCAAGUAGAAAAGAAAAAGUGAUCAACCAUCGUGGUGGAGCAAAAUCGUUUGCUGUUUAUUAUGAAAAAGAAAAAGAAAAAGAAAGAGAGGUAAGCAAGAUUGAUCUACAGAAUUUUAUAUUGUAACUUUGACAUUCAUAAAACUAUUAUAAUUUUAACUGAUGUUAACAUAUAUGCACUAACAUUUUGAAGCGUGCUGCUGCGCGUGAGGCUGCGGGUGUUGUUGACACACCUGAAGAUGCU
rnacentral:lncRNA from 1 species